ACGACCGUAGCUCAGCUGGUUAGAGCACUACCUUGACAUGGUAGGGGUCGGUGGUUCGAGUCCACUCGGUCGUACCA
rnacentral:tRNA from 6 species